GCCAGCAGGGGGGAAUCUUAGACAAUGGGGGCAACCCUGAUCUAGCCAUUCCGCGUGAGUGACGAAGGUCUUAGGAUCGUAAAGCUCUUUCGCCUGUGAAGAUAAUGCCGGUACCCAGGUAAAGAACCCCGGCUAACUCCGUGCCACCACCCGCGUUAAUACGGAGGGGGUUAGCUUUGUUCGGAAUUAGUGGGCAUAAAGCGCACGUAGCCGGAUCAGAAAUUUGGGGGUGAAAUCCCGGGGCUCAACCCCGGAACUGCCUCCAAAACUUCUGGUCUGGAGUUCGAGAGAGAUGAGUGGAAUUCCGAGUGUAGAGGUGAAAUUCGUAGAUAUUGGGAGAAACACCAGUGGCGAAGUCGGCUCACUGGCUAGAUACUGACGGUGAGGUGCGAAAGUGUGGGGAGCAAACAGGAUUAGAUACCCCUGUUAGUCCACACCGUAAAACGAUGAAUGACCAGUCGUCGGGCAUUAUCCCCUUCGGUGACACACCUAACGACACUAAGCAUUCCGGCACUGG
rnacentral:rRNA from 1 species